rnacentral:rRNA from 1 species
UGCAGGUCGAGCGGACAGAUGGGAGCUUGCUCCCUGAUGUUAGCGGCGGACGGGUGAGUAACACGUGGGUAACCUGCCUGUAAGACUGGGAUAACUCCGGGAAACCGGGGCUAAUACCGGAUGGUUGUUUGAACCGCAUGGUUCAAACAUAAAAGGUGGCUUCGGCUACCACUUACAGAUGGACCCGCGGCGCAUUAGCUAGUUGGUGAGGUAACGGCUCACCAAGGCAACGAUGCGUAGCCGACCUGAGAGGGUGAUCGGCCACACUGGGACUGAGACACGGCCCAGACUCCUACGGGAGGCAGCAGUAGGGAAUCUUCCGCAAUGGACGAAAGUCUGACGGAGCAACGCCGCGUGAGUGAUGAAGGUUUUCGGAUCGUAAAGCUCUGUUGUUAGGGAAGAACAAGUACCGUUCGAAUAGGGCGGUACCUUGACGGUACCUAACCAGAAAGCCACGGCUAACUACGUGCCAGCAGCCGCGGUAAUACGUAGGUGGCAAGCGUUGUCCGGAAUUAUUGGGCGUAAAGGGCUCGCAGGCGGUUUCUUAAGUCUGAUGUGAAAGCCCCCGGCUCAACCGGGGAGGGUCAUUGGAAACUGGGGAACUUGAGUGCAGAAGAGGAGAGUGGAAUUCCACGUGUAGCGGUGAAAUGCGUAGAGAUGUGGAGGAACACCAGUGGCGAAGGCGACUCUCUGGUCUGUAACUGACGCUGAGGAGCGAAAGCGUGGGGAGCGAACAGGAUUAGAUACCCUGGUAGUCCACGCCGUAAACGAUGAGUGCUAAGUGUUAGGGGGUUUCCGCCCCUUAGUGCUGCAGCUAACGCAUUAAGCACUCCGCCUGGG